AACUUCUCAGGAGUGCACCUGGAGAGUUUCUAGCACUCUACCAGUCUCAGCUACAGGAGGGAAAGUCAAGCAGAGGCCUGUCCAUUCCAUUCCUAGUUUGGGCAGUGGUUAGCGAGUGGUAGGCAAUCUGCUACAAGU
rnacentral:snoRNA from 2 species